AGGCUGCAGAACACUCCCGAGCAG
rnacentral:piRNA from 1 species